GAUGAACGCUGGCGGCGUGCUUAACACAUGCAAGUCGAACGAAGCAUUUAAGACAGAUUACUUCGGUUUGAAGUCUUUUAUGACUGAGUGGCGGACGGGUGAGUAACGCGUGGGUAACCUGCCUCAUACAGGGGGAUAGCAGCUGGAAACGGCUGGUAAUACCGCAUAAGCGCACAGUACCACAUGGUACAGUGUGAAAAACUCCGGUGGUAUGAGAUGGACCCGCGUCUGAUUAGCUUGUUGGCGGGGUAACGGCCCACCAAGGCGACGAUCAGUAGCCGACCUGAGAGGGUGACCGGCCACAUUGGGACUGAGACACGGCCCAGACUCCUACGGGAGGCAGCAGUGGGGAAUAUUGCACAAUGGAGGAAACUCUGAUGCAGCGACGCCGCGUGAGUGAAGAAGUAGUUCGCUAUGUAAAGCUCUAUCAGCAGGGAAGAUAGUGACGGUACCCGACUAAGAAGCUCCGGCUAAAUACGUG
rnacentral:rRNA from 1 species